UAACAACACACAACAUUCCAGGAAUGUACUACCAAAGUUCUAUCAAUAUUUGAAUGUCCUGGACAUUUAGGGAACAUUCGGUGAACAUCUGAUUAAAUUAUUCGUGGAAUGUUACCAUAAGACAUUCUGUGAACAUACUACCAAUGUUCCUGUUCAUUUUCAAAUUCACGGCGCAUGUAUUUGUGCAUGGUGCUUAGAGAGGGCAUCACGUGACUAAAAACGACCAAUGACCUCACUUCAGACUUCGGUUCGGCCAUCUUGACAUGCAUCUUGCCUUGGCCACCUUGCCGUGCGUGAUCGUUGUUUGUUUUUAUUUGUGCUUUUUAAGAAUAUUUUUUAAUUCGGAUACUUUUAUAAUAACUUUAAUAGUAUUAUUAAUAUAGUGCAUAAAAUCAGUUGGAGUAGCAGAAGCAAUGUAGAUAAAAAAUCUGCAGGAAUAAUGUUUCAAAGGUUAGUAUAUUAUGCAAAUAUGUAAACAAAGGCAUGCCCCUAUUUCAGAAAAUAUCCAUUUAUUAUUUUAAUAAUUGCGAAUAAGCCACAAACUUGCUUAUUCCUAAUUAAAAUAGUAAAUAGAGAUAAUAACAAACGGAUUAUUUGUAAAAUUAAAUUUUUUUUUGCGUUUUUGCUAAUGUAUGCGUUUAUAAACAGGAUGGUAGACCACACACUAUAAUAGUACCAACUAAUGAAUACACAGUAUGAAUAGUACAGUCGGUUCGCUAAACUUAGUCUCAGACACAACUGGCUAGUGAUUUUAGUAAAUAAUUUUGACAAUUUGGUAAAAUUGGCAAAAAAAUAACUAAAUAGUUAGUAAUUUUGGCAAAAAUGGCCAAAAACAAAAAAAUUACCUACUAAAAUCACUAGCCAGUUGUGGCUAGGGAAACGACUAUACUAAUAAACAAUUUCUAAGCUGCUUUUUAUAAUAUUUUCUUUCCAGAAGAUCCUGCGAAGAAGGCAUGAAGUAUUGAUCAGAUUUGUUAAUAGAGCAGUAUGUUCAAAACAUUUUUUAGAAAAAGAUAUUGACAGAACUUCACUUUCAACCGUUUGAGAGACUGUGCUGUUCCAAUAGCUUAUAUCACACAGAAUCAGCUGAGAGAAGUGGUCUACAAAAAACCAGGAAGGAAAUGGAAUAUGUGGCUAUGAAAGGCAAAAGAAAGGUUUACAAAGCAAAUGUGACACAUUUUUUUAUAGGAAUAUCAGUAAAUUACAUUAAAAAAAUGUAUGAAAAGAUUUUUUGCAAUAAAAAUGUUUAUAUUUAUCAAGCAUGCAUUAUUUGGUAUGGCCACAUAUCGUCAGUGAUGUGACAAUACCUCCUAUCUGUUUUUUCAUGAGAUUUGUAAGAUAGACUAAAAACUUGUUUGGGCCACCUCCUGUUUUCAUAUAUUUUUUGACUUGUUUUGCAGUAAAUUUAACUAUCUAUUUACUACAAAACAAGCCAGAACUUACGUAUGCAAACAGGAGGUGACCUUAAAAAAUGUUUUUCGUCUCCUGCAAACCUCAUGAAAAAAGAU